rnacentral:rRNA from 1 species
GAUGAACGCUGGCGGCGUGCCUAAUACAUGCAAGUCGAGCGAACGGACGAGAAGCUUGCUUCUCUGAUGUUAGCGGCGGACGGGUGAGUAACACGUGGAUAACCGACCUAUAAGACUGGGAUAACUUCGGGAAACCUGAGCUAAUACCGGAUAAGAUUUUGAACCGCAUGGUUCAAAAGUGAAAGACGGUCUUGCUGUCACUUAUAGAUGGAUCCGCGCUGCAUUAGCUAGUUGGUAAGGUAACGGCUUACCAAGGCAACGAUGCAUAGCCGACCUGAGAGGGUGAUCGGCCACACUGGAACUGAGACACGGUCCAGACUCCUACGGGAGGCAGCAGUAGGGAAUCUUCCGCAAUGGGCGAAAGCCUGACGGAGCAACGCCGCGUGAGUGAUGAAGGUCUUCGGAUCGUAAAACUCUGUUAUUAGGGAAGAACAUAUGUGUAAGUAACUGUGCACAUCUUGACGGUACCUAAUCAGAAAGCCACGGCUAACUACGUG